rnacentral:misc_RNA from 1 species
CAUUUGCGCAAGGAUGCCGCGCUCAUGCGCCACGAGCCUGUCGCGGCCGACCCGCGGCGGCGCAGUGUUCUCCUGCAUGCUGGCAUCUUCGGUGUAGUAGCGCUCGAUGGCGCCGGCGUGAUCGCCGCUCUCGACCACUGCAAUGAAUUCGUCAACGCGUGCGCGUGUCGGCAUCUGUGUUCCCCGGUUUAUCAGCCGGGAACAUUUAAGCACGCGACGCGCGAAACGCUACGGGGCGAUCUGUUGCAGUUUUGCGUGCAUCAGCGGAUAAUGGCGCCGGGCCAACAGCCUACUUGUAUAAAUACCCGACCGGCUGCCCUUCGGUACGCAGAGGACGAACGUCCCUCCCCGUGAUGAUUUGACCGGCCAGGCCAUCAAUCUCGUCGCGCUGCAUCGGCGUCCAACUGCAAAGAUUCUCCAUACCCUUCAGCAGGCCGAGC